AUUGAACGCUGGCGGCAUGCUUUACACAUGCAAGUCGAACGGUAACAGGCCGCAAGGUGCUGACGAGUGGCGAACGGGUGAGUAAUGCAUCGGAACGUGCCCAGUCGUGGGGGAUAACGCAGCGAAAGCUGUGCUAAUACCGCAUACGAUCUGUGGGUGAAAGCGGGGGACCGUAGGGCCUCGCGCGAUUGGAGCGGCCGAUGUCAGAUUAGGUAGUUGGUGGGGUAAAGGCUCACCAAGCCGACGAUCUGUAGCUGGUCUGAGAGGACGACCAGCCACACUGGGACUGAGACACGGCCCAGACUCCUACGGGAGGCAGCAGUGGGGAAUUUUGGACAAUGGGCGCAAGCCUGAUCCAGCAAUGCCGCGUGCAGGAAGAAGGCCUUCGGGUUGUAAACUGCUUUUGUACGGAGCGAAAAGGCUCUCUCUAAUACAGGGGGCUCAUGACGGUACCGUAAGAAUAAGCACCGGCUAACUACGUGCCAGCCGCCGCCGUAACAC
rnacentral:rRNA from 1 species